AAUCUGAAAUCCAAAAUAUCUGUUUCAUUCUGCUGUUAUCCAUCAUUUAUCAAUUCAAAAAUGUUUAACAAAAAAAAGUAGGGCUCUUCUCUUCCCCACUGUCAAAACAAUGUGAAUCAAAAUGGCUAAAAGAAACUCCUAGUGUUCCCUAUUGACACAAACACACACUUAAGGCUCUUAUAAUACAUUCUGCCCAGAUCCCAAGAUUUUAGAGCUUCCUUUAGCUACCUCCUAGCAACAGCUACUUGAUCACUUCUUUAAAACCUCAGCUUUUCUAACGAGCCUCUAAAAUGACUUUCAGCCUCCUCAGAAAAACACAGGUUUCUCAAUU
rnacentral:lncRNA from 1 species